AAUGAGCGAAUUGGUCUUUAAUAGCAUUGCAUGGUGGAAAUUUAAAAGGAACUUCUUUUUAUAUAGAGAAGAGGAGGUGCAUAUGGAAAUUUUAGAAGGAACAAGUUUUUGUAAUGAUGGAAUUUUUAGGAGGAACAAUUUUCUUUUUCUUCUUCUUUUCUCAGAGAAGAGGGAGGAGGAAGAGGAAAGGAGAAUAAUUUCAGGUGCUUUUCCAUAGUUCAAAAGAUGGGAAAGUGCUUCAAACAAUAAUUACAAGGUUUAUCUUGCGCGAUGCUAAAUUUGGACAAGUUUAUAUGAAGGGCAUAUAUAAGUCAGCUGCUCCAUCCAACAUUACUUCUAAAGAGUUUUGUUGGAAGAAAAACACUUCAAUUAGUCAUCAUCCCCUCCUCAUGCAUGCCAUUUCCAUGUGAAAACUGUUGAAUAUGUCCUUGGUACAUUACUAACGACUAUCGCAAGGGGACCUAAACUCCAUCAGUUCAUCAAGCAAUUCUUCCUUGAUUUUUUGCCAAGGCAGAGGCAAAUUCAUUGAGGUAUUUAACAUUCUAAUUUAACAUUAACAAAUUAUACUUUCUCAAAGUCUUGUAAUACCUUGAAA
rnacentral:lncRNA from 1 species